UUCUGUGAGCGCCUGACAAUUUCAGUUCACAGUUCACGUGAAGCUCUACUGAAAAGAAGUUCAGUCGCUUUCUGAUUCGAGUCGUGCAAAGGUUCUGCUUAUAAACGGUUGCAAAGAAGAAAAAUGGAUAAAAGUACUUCAGCUGUCCAGUCCAGUCAAGAAGCAGAGAAUAAAAGUGAACCAACAACACCAAGUGAAUCCUCUGGCGAGCCAUCUCCCAAUUUGAUUGAAUUGCAAGCCGAAAAUGAGUCAUUGAGAAAGAAACUUGCUAAGAUGUCACAAAUUAAAUUUAUAUUGGCCCAAGCUCUUGACGAUCUGUGUGUACUAAAUUCCCGAAUGAUGGUAGAGCAUCAAUCCAGGCUUGAGGCUGUGCUGAAUGACCUUCCACUGGAAGUUCUUAUGGAACACUUUUCUUCAAAUGGGGGUCGAUCCGGUCGAAGCAUGGGGACGGGGAAGGGGAGAGUUGACAGUUGAGGCAAAUGAAAUAGAUUUGUAAAACAUCCAUGUUUUUGUUGGAAACGUUAAAAAUAUACUUUGAAAAUGUUUUGCAUUAA